GCCCUUAGAGUUUGAUCCUGGCUCAGGACGACCGCUGGCGGCGUGCUUAACACAUGCAAGUCGAGCGGGGAUCGAGGGCUUCGGCUCUUGAUUCUAGCGGCGGACGGGUGAGUAACGCGUGAACAAUCUGUCCCAGACAGGGGGAUAACACUUGGAAACAGGUGCUAAUACCGCAUAAGACCACGGAGUCACAUGGCUCAGGGGUAAAAGAUUUAUCGGUCUGGGGUGAGUUCGCGUCCGAUUAGCUAGUUGGUGAGGUAACGGCCCACCAAGGCGACGAUCGGUAGCCGACCUGAGAGGGUGAUCGGCCACAUUGGAACUGAGACACGGUCCAAACUCCUACGGGAGGCAGCAGUGGGGGAUAUUGGGCAAUGGGCGAAAGCCUGACCCAGCAACGCCGCGUGAGUGAAGAAGGCCUUCGGGUUGUAAAGCUCUGUCCUCAAGGACGAAGGAAGUGACGGUACUUGAGGAGGAAGCCCCGGCUAACUACGUGCCAGCAGCCGCGGUAAUACGUAGGGGGCAAGCGUUGUCCGGAAUGACUGGGCGUAAAGGGCGUGUAGGCGGCCGAUUAAGUCUGAAGUGAAAGUCCUGCUUUCAAGGUGGGAAUUGCUUUGGAGACUGGUUGGCUUGAGUGCGGAAGAGGUAAGUGGAAUUCCCAGUGUAGCGGUGAAAUGCGUAGAGAUUGGGAGGAACACCAGUGGCGAAGGCGACUUACUGGGCCGUAACUGACGCUGAGGCGCGAAAGCGUGGGGAGCGAACAGGAUUAGAUACCCUGGUAGUCCACGCUGUAAACGAUGAAUGCU
rnacentral:rRNA from 1 species